GACGUCCUAUUACAAUUAGGCGUCCGCCGGGUACUACGAGCACUAGCUUGAAACCCAAAGGACCUGACGGUGUCUCAGACCCCCCUAGAGGAGCCUGUUCUAGAACCGAUAACCCCCGUUGAACCUCACCACUUCUAGCCACCCCAGCCUAUAUACCGCCGUCGUCAGCCUACCCUGUGAAGG
rnacentral:rRNA from 1 species